AUGGCUGUCGUCAGCUCGUGUCGUGAGAUGUUGGGUUAAGUCCCGCAACGAGCGCAACCCUCGUCCUAUGUUGCCAGCACAUAAUGGUGGGGACUCAUAGGAGACUGCCGGGGUCAACUCGGAGGAAGGUGGGGAUGACGUCAAGUCAUCAUGCCCCUUAUGUCCAGGGCUGCACACAUGCUACAUUGGCGCAUACAGAGGGCUGCGAUACCGCGAGGUGGAGCGAAUCCCUUAAAGUGCGUCUCGGUUCGGAUUGCAGGCUGAAACUCGCCUGCAUGAAGGCGGAGUUGCUAGUAAUCGCGGAUCAGCAUUGCCGCGGUGAAUACGUUCCCGGGCCUUGUACACACCGCCCGUCACACCACGGGAGUGAGCAACACCCGAAGCCGGUGGCCUAACCCGCAAGGGAGGGAGCCGUCGAAGGUGGGGCUCGUGACUGGGGUGAAGUCGUAACAAGGUAGCCGUAGCGGAAGCUGCGGCUGGAUCACCUCCUUUCUAGGGAGCACUUCGGUGCCCCGUUUCCUGCGGCCGCCAGACCCUUGAGGUCAGGCGGUGUCCAAGCGGAGGCGGGCCUAGCAUGUCGGCCGAACCUGGCUGGCGGGCCGCGAGUCCGUGGAGUUCCCUGACUACUUGGGGGCUUCAUGAUUCAAGGCCACAAAUCACGCCAGCAUGCUGUUGAGUUUUGAGAGACCGGCGUCCGUCGGUGGUUGGCGCAGUGGCGAUAUAGAGAUCGCUUCCGCAUAUGCUCACUACUGGCUGGCGUUAUCGCCUCCCCACGGUCCUUGAAAACUGCACAGAAGCCACAAACAGCCGCCAUCGAUAAGCGGCGGCUGUAUAACGGGUAUCACCGGGCCCACUGUGAUCGACCGUGUCGGAUGUGCUCCGCAAGGAGCUCGGAAGACGCUUAGAUCGUUUUGGGCCAGAUCACCGUCAAGAUAGUAAGGGCACAUGGUGGGUGCCUUGGCACUAAGAGUCGAUGAAGGGCGUGAACGGCUGCGAUAAGCCACGGUUAGGCGCUGAAUAGCCUUUGACCCGUGGAUUCCCGAAUGGGGAAACCCGG
rnacentral:sRNA from 1 species